rnacentral:rRNA from 1 species
GUGAGGAAUAUUGGACAAUGGAGGAAACUCUGAUCCAGCCAUGCCGCGUGAGUGAUGAAGGCCUUCGGGUUGUAAAGCUCUUUCGGGUGUGAAAAUGAUGAUGGUAACACCAGAAGAAGCCCCGGCUAACUCCGUGCCAGCAGCCGCGGUAAUACGGAGGGGGCGAGCGUUGUUCGGAAUCACUGGGCGUAAAGCGUGCGUAGGCGGUUAUACAAGUCAGGAGUGAAAUCCCAGGGCUCAACCUUGGAAUUGCUUUUGAGACUGUAUGACUAGAGAUCUAGAGAGGUUGGGGGAAUUCCGAGUGUAGAGGUGAAAUUCGCAGAUAUUCGGAGGAACACCAGUGGCGUAGGCGCCCAACUGGCUAGAUAAUGACGCUGAGGCACGAAAGCGUGGGGAGCAAACAGGAUUAGAAACCCGAGUAGUCC